rnacentral:tRNA from 1 species
GUACUAAUAGUAUAAUGGUAAUACAGAUAUUUUGUAAAUAUCAAAUAGGAGUUCGAUUCUCUUUUAGUACA